UACAGAGGUCUCAAGCGUUGUUCGGAUUCAUUGGGCGUAAAGGGUGUGUAGGUGGCGCCGUAAGUCGGGUGUGAAAUCUCGGAGCUUAACUCCGAAACUGCAUUCGAUACUGCCGUGCUUGAGGACUGGAGAGGAGACUGGAAUUUACGGUGUAGCGGUGAAAUGCGUAGAUAUCGUAAGGAAGACCAGUGGCGAAGGCGGGUCUCUGGACAGUUCCUGACGCUGAGGCACGAAGGCCAGGGGAGCAAACAGG
rnacentral:rRNA from 1 species